ACGUUCUCCGGGAGACACCAAGCAAGUAACCCCCACAAAACCUGAUGGGCAGAGCCAAGACAGAAUGCGUGCCUCUUACAGGGACCAAAAUUCAUCCAAUUCCCUUCUGGAAAGGACCUCUGCCACCGUCUCCCAGGCACCACCCAGAAAGGCUGAGAGGAAAAGGUCGGGAGUCGCCGGGUCCAGGUCGGGAUGGACAUGGGGCGCAAGGACGGUGGCCUUGGUGGUCCCGGCGAGGGCGGCACACAGGGUAGGUGCUCUUGGAAUGCCUGUUGAAGGAAAAGGCUCUGAACGGGCACUUGGGGACAGAACACGGGAAGCGCGCUGACAUUCUGAGGCGCCUGCAACCCUCUGCGCUCCGAGGGUCAGGUCAGGUCCGGCCGGCUC